rnacentral:rRNA from 1 species
GUCGAGCGGACCRAAGAGCUUGCUCUUUUGGUUUAGCGGCGGACGGGUGAGUAACACGUGGGCAACCUGCCCUGCAGAUCGGGAUAACUCCGGGAAACCGGUGCUAAUACCGGAUAGCUUUUGGUCCCGCCUGGGACCRAACGGAAAGACGGCUCACGCUGUCACUGCAGGAUGGGCCCGCGGCGCAUUAGCUAGUUGGGGGGGUAACGGCUUCCCAAGGCGACGAUGCGUAGCCGACCUGAGAGGGUGAUCGGCCACACUGGGACUGARACACGGCCCAGACUCCUACGGGAGGCAGCAGUAGGGAAUCUUCCGCAAUGGAC